UACGGGGGGAGCAAGCGUUGUUCGGAUUUACUGGGCGUAAAGGGCGCGUAGGCGGCGCCGCAAGUCGACUGUGAAAUCUCCGGGCUUAACCCGGAAAGGUCAGCCGAUACUGCGGGGCUAGAGUGCAGAAGGGGCAACUGGAAUUCUCGGUGUAGCGGUGAAAUGCGUAGAUAUCGAGAGGAACACCUGCGGCGAAGGCGGGUUGCUGGGCUGACACUGACGCUGAUGCGCGAAAGCUAGGGGAGCGAACAGG
rnacentral:rRNA from 1 species